CUCCCAGUAAACUUUUGCUUUUCCUUGAUCUUUACUUGGAUAUUAAAUUGGUUCUUUUAGUCCGUAUGAUUAACACAGCUCUUGAAGAUUAUUCUUUAAUAUCAUGAGACUUGUAGCUUAUUGUUUUUAUCUUCACUGUUUAUCCUCUCUUUCGCACUUUCUGAAUGCACUUAUGCUUUGCCUUGAUCUUUACUUGGAUAUUAGAUUUACAUUUUUAGUCUAUGAUUAACACAGCUCUUGAAGAUUAUUCUUUAAUAUCAUGAGACUUGUAGCUUAUUGUUUUUAUCUUCACUGUUUAUCCUCUCUUUCGCACUUUCUGAAUGCACUUAUGCUUUGCCUUGAUCUUUACUUGGAUAUUAGAUUUACAUUUUUAGUC
rnacentral:misc_RNA from 1 species